GCAUCUUAAAAAGAAAGAAAGAAAAUAAACUUAGGAGCAGAAGGUAGGACAGUGUGAGUGACCGAUACAAAUCCUGUCUAACUGGGACAGCUGAAAGGGGCCUCAAAUCGAUCAUUCCUUUUGCUUUUGUACUGUGGUUUGGGUGGAUGUUCCCCUGUUCCAGCUGAAGCUGCUACUCGUAUUUUUCCUGCAAAAAUUUGUAGUGUAGAAGAUAAUGUGAUCAAUUUUGUGCUAAACAUUGCACCUGCAGCUCUAGUAAAACAGGACCAAUAGCUUUUCCUAGUUCCUUAUAUUGCUUCACAAAUACCUCUUUUUUUAGUGAGGCAUGGAGAUUCCUGAAAAUCCGCCAGCUCCUGUGACCUCUGAAGAACAUGUGUAAGAAAACUGGUUCUUCAGUCAUAGCCUGGUCUGAAAGGGCAACUAACAACAUCCUUCUUCUGUGAGUAAAUAACAAUUUCUGUAAGAAAAGGUAAGUGGCUUCUUCUACUUUCUGCUGUUCUGAUACAGUAUUCGUAAUUUUUUUUCAUUAAAUAUAUUUAAUGAAGUUUUGUGACAUUGAUCUGAGACUAUAGUUUUGGUUCAUGGUCAAAUUCUGCUCUUUGACACCCAGUUCAAUGAAUUCAUGUUCUAUAGGAUGAUGAGCUACCUUAUGUAUAGAGUAGAUUUUGAGGGAAUUCUCAAAAUACACACAAAGAGCUAGAAGGGCUGGCCAAAAGCUAAGCUAGCACUAUUUCUGUUAGAUUAAUCCCCAAGGUCUCCUCUUCAUCCUGUUCCUGCCAGAAAAGUUCCACUGGAAAUGCAGGUACAGCCCUUGUUUCUCUUGUUCCAGUUACCUCCCCUCCUUCAUCCUGUGUUGGAGAGGCGUUCCAGGUUCAAGGGUGUAUUUCCAUAUUGCAGUUCCCAGUUCUUAAGAUAAGUGUGUGUAUUUUGUUACAUUAAGUUGCUGCUUCAUACAGAACUAUUCUUCCUUGGUGGGGGCUCAACAGCUUCUAGAGUGUUUACAAAAUGUCUGGUGAUCACUGCAGUGCUCAAAGGGUAAAUAAAAUGUUCAGGUUUCUUAUCGCAGAGGCUGGCCAUUCUAAGGUGCUUCUGCUCAACAAGUCACCAGACAUUGCUGUAUUAACUCUCCCAACAGCUUUGUUUUGAGAGUGCAGAAAGAAGAGCAAACUCCACCCCAAAAUGAAUCUUAUUAGAUUCAACAGAGUAAGCAAUUAGCAGUGAACCACUCUGUGGUGUUCAGAUCCUGUGCAGUCAGUUGUGAAGCCCCUAUCUCUGCGUGUGUCUUGUGCAGCCUCAGAGGGAAAAGCUGACAGAAAUGACAGCAUGCAAUCCAAAGUACUGGGUUCUUUCAAUUUGUAUCAUCAAAGCACGUUUGACAGGUCUAUCUCAAAAUGUAUUUUGAGAAAUACAAGGUAUUUAGCCACUCUGUAGCGUCCCAGGUUUCUCUUUCCAAGUAAAACACCCGUCCUUUUUGGGACAUCAGUAUAGCUUUAUUGAAUACGAUAGUAAAUCCCUUUUUAGAUAUAUUCUGUCUGAAGUGUUAAUCCACUUUUUGCUGAAACACCUUUUCUAUGAAAGCCGUAUCGCUGAUUGUUCAGCAUGAAUUGUCAGCAAGUAUUCUACUACCUGUCUUCUUUUUAAUUGCAGCUUCAGCUGGUAAACUGAAAGGCAGUCACCCCUGCCCUCCCUUUUAUGCUCUGAGGGAGAGGGAUGGAGGGAGAUAUGAAUGGAGACUCAAACGCCUUUCAAAAUAAGGCUAGCUGCAAGUGCAGGGUGGAUGGGAACAGCCAUGUAGAUGUUACUACAUCCUUUGUGAUUCAAAGUAUGCAUGAUAUUCCAGGAAUUACAAAAGGAGAUCAACUCC